AAUGAGAACGCGGCCCUGCAGGGCGCAUGCGCCUCCCCUUAACCCUUCGCGUGCCGCGCCCCCCCACCGGCUGCCCCUGUCUGCGGCCUUGGGCCGCCGCGCCCAACCGGGCCCAGCCGGGCAGCGACCUGGCCAGCGACCUGGCCAGCGCCGCGAUCGGGCCUGAGUGCGAGCAGCAGCCAGCCGCCUCGCCCCCGGGAUCGCGGUUUUGUCACAUCCCCCGCAACUGAGUCCGAGUGGGCGCUGUCAGACACGGGCAGCGGGAAGGUUUAUAACAGUGUUUCCACUUGGUCUUCCACAUCCUGGGCCCAGAGCAGAGGAGGGCUGAGUUUCCAGAGCAUUGAAGGACAAAGGUGACGAAAUGAGGCGCUUCUACUUUAGACCUGCGUCAGCCCUCGGACUGCGCGUCUUUACCGUGCCUACGGAGCCAGCCAUUUCUUAUCAGCGAAGCAGGAGGGGACUGGGAGGAACACAUGGCGGCUUCGACGAACUGCUUUUCUGAGAAUCUCGCCUGCCAGCUUGCUGUGCCCAGGCUGAGUAAGGUGCAGCACACACAGACACGUCAUCCUCCAGCUAAGUUGGGCUGUUCUAGGAAGAAAAUCCUGGGUGCAGCAAUAGCCAAGUGCAUGAAGUCCUCACUCUUGUUUGUUUGCUUUGCCACAUGGCAGCCUGUCCUGAUUUUGGCAGGGAUAAAGUUAAUUUCCUUCCUA